rnacentral:lncRNA from 1 species
GUACUGACCGAGAUUCCCAAAGUUGUCUGACCUCUGCAAAAGUGUUUCUAUCAACAGCCUCUGAUUACAACAUGGCUGAGAUCACAAAUAUACGCCCCAGCUUUGACACCUCCAGAUCCUAGCAGUGACCUCAAGGUCUCCAAAGAAGAUGAUGGGUCACAGAAGAACUCCACCUGGAACAUGCUUUAACUGUGGCGAGGACAGCUUCUAUGAAACACUGCCCUUCACCUUGCCCACGGCACAGCCUCUACGAACUGAGGACCAAGUGCGAUACUGGGGAGCUGACUGGCCCACUUUGCCUAGACAACAUAGACUGGUCCUCCAAGCCCCUCCUCCACAGGAAGGUCUGUUGGAUCUUUUGGGCCUGAUGGCCAAAGGCUGUCCAUAGAGCUUGAUUGUCAGGUAGCCAGUAAGGAUCUAUUAUGUUUAAUAGACUCAGGACCUACUUGAUGUAUACUUAUUGAAUCACUGUUGGGUUCCGAGCUCCUACUAUGACUCAAACACGUGAGUCUAUUGACUUUUCUGCAAUGUGGAUCUCAAUAGAAAUUACACAGUGGUAAUGCUAACAUAUGUAAAAUUUUAUCUUUUGAUAAACUUAAAAUUCUUGUAA